rnacentral:lncRNA from 1 species
AUGAUUUCUUAUUUCACGGUUUUGUUUUUCUGUAAUUAUGCUAUGUCUGUAAUCUUUACUAGUCAGGUCAUUGCAUCCUGUGAUAUUGUUGUAGUCUUGCACUGUCUCCUUGCCAAGUGUUGCCAUCAGCACCAUUUAAAGGAGAUAUUGAUACUUUGGCUCUCUAUAUGCAAAUUCAGAUCUGCUUCUAACCCUUACGCAACUACGCCUAGCUUGCUUAGCAUCUUUGAAAAAAAAGGCCAGAACCCUCAAUUUUGAUCUACGACCAUCUAUGAUUCUGGAAAACUUGAUACACUGUUAAUACUUGAUACACUAUUUAUACUUGAUACCACAAAGAUUUACACCCAAUCUUACAACCUGAAAAAAUCAAUCUCAAACCACAGAAAAAAAAAAAAAACUGAUAAGAAAACUGAGCUGCAUCUUCAGAAGGAGUAAGUAAAUUGACCUCUUCACUGUUUUCACUGUUGUAUAUUCGUCAAGGACCACUGAUUUGACGACUACAUCAGCUUUGACACAACGAUAAGAUUUGUUACAUUUUAUAUAUAUCAGUAAAUAUAUUCAAUAAUCAGUAAUUAAAAAAAAUAUUCUUACAUUUACUACAUUUACUUCCCAGUGAUUAAAAGUCAAUAUGCCAAAGAAAAGGAAAGAGGAGUGAAUCACAGAAACAGCGCAGAAAGCUACAGUCUUCAUUGGGCACCAGUAACAGUACCAACUCUGUAUCAGGUAUGAGUGAUGAAAACCCGUAUGUGCUGUCUGUUAAAGCGUCUCACUGUCAGACCGAUGUGAGGUACAGUGGGUAUUCCAGAGGGCGUCAGUGUGUAAUUCCUUAAUAUUCCUAGCAGUCCAUA